rnacentral:rRNA from 1 species
CCUACGGGUGGCAGCAGUGGGGAAUAUUGCACAAUGGGGGAAACCCUGAUGCAGCGACGCCGCGUGAGUGAAGAAGUAUUUCGGUAUGUAAAGCUCUAUCAGCAGGGAAGAAAAUGACGGUUCCUGAUUAAGAAGCCCCGGCUAACUACGUGCCAGCAGCCGCGGUAAUACGUAGGGGGCAAGCGUUAUCCGGAUUUAUUGGGUGUAAAGGGUGCGUAGGCGGACUACCAAGUCAGCGGUAAAAUCGCGGGGCUCAACCUCGCUCCGCCGUUGAAACUGGCGUUCUUGAGUGGGCGAGAGGUAUGCGGAAUGCGUGGUGUAGCGGUGAAAUGCAUAGAUAUCACGCAGAACUCCGAUUGCGAAGGCAGCAUACCGGCGCCCAACUGACGCUGAGGCACGAAAGCGUGGGUAUCGAACAGGAUUAGAUACCCCAGUAGUC